rnacentral:lncRNA from 1 species
UGCCACAUGCUAUACAGGAUUUUUUUUUUAGGGUUUUUGGGCUUCUAAAGUUUGGGCCUGAUCCAAGGGCUCAAGUGGCUGGAUUAUUACAUUCUCCCCUCCUUAAAUAAUUUCAUCUUUGAAAUUAACUUUGCUUGAUCAAUAACUUUAAAAGAACAUCGAUCAUGUCGUUCUCGAGCUUUUAAUAGUUUAUAUUUCGUAGUACUUGUUUCACAAAAUUAUGUGACAU